UACGGAGGGAGCUAGCGUUGUUCGGAAUUACUGGGCGUAAAGCGCACGUAGGCGGCUUUCUAAGUCGGGGGUGAAAUCCUGGAGCUCAACUCCAGAACUGCCUUCGAUACUGGAGAGCUCGAGUCCGGGAGAGGUGAGUGGAACUGCGAGUGUAGAGGUGAAAUUCGUAGAUAUUCGCAAGAACACCAGUGGCGAAGGCGGCUCACUGGCCCGAUACUGACGCUGAGGCACGAAAGCGUGGGGAGCAAACAGGG
rnacentral:rRNA from 1 species